UGAUGGAGAGCUACGCCCAAACUAUAACUCUGACAGCUUUACCAGAGGAUUGUGUCGCUGUGGGCCUUCCCCCAGUGCAUGCCGGGUAGAGAUGGAGUGUGUGGAGGAAUGGAGCGGCUGACCGCUGACUGUUUCCCCGGUGAAGCAUCUCUGUCAGCGGCCUCAGGACCUUCAGCGGAGCGGAGCUUCGAGCGUCUCUGAGCUAUGAGGAGCGGCGUGCUGUGUUCCCGUGGCGUCCCAACUGUCAGACUAUGCUGUGUGUGUCCAGUGUGUGGCGCCUGCUGAGAGCUCGCCGCCUCCCUCCCGGCCCCCCCCGCCCCGUCCAGACCGACGCCAUGUACGCCACACGCCUCUACAGCGCCGCGGGGGGAGGAGGAGGAG